AGUGUGUGAUAAUGGGUACCUGGCCACUUUCGACCCGAUGCUUAAUGUAUCUCCAUCAGUGUGUGAUACAGAUACCUGUCCACUAGACCGAUGCUUAAUGUAUCUCUAUCAGUGUGUGAUACGAGUAUCUGGCCACUAGACCGAUGCUUGAUGUACCUCCAUCAGUGUGUGAUACGGUGUGAAGCCCAUUUCUGGUGUCCCCCGCCAUGAUGUUGCUGGAAUAUUGCGUAAAGCGGCAUAAAACCAAACUCAGUCAGUCAGCGUGUGAUACGAGUACCUGGCCACUAGACCGAUGCUUAAUGUAUCUCCAUCAGUGUGUGAUACGGGUAUCUGGCCACUAGACCGAUGCUUAAUGUAUCUCCAUCAGUGUGUGAUA